UACGGGGGGGGCAAGCGUUGUUCGGAAUUACUGGGCGUAAAGGGUCUGUAGGUGGCCAACUAAGUCAUACGUGAAAUCCCUCAGCUUAACUGGGGAACUGCGUCUGAUACUGGUUGGCUUGAGUGCAGGAGAGGAACGCGGAAUUCCAGGUGUAGCGGUGAAAUGCGUAGAUAUCUGGAGGAACACCGGUGGCGAAGGCGGCUCUCUGGGACGGUACUGACGCUGAGACGCGAAAGCGUGGGGAGCGAACAGG
rnacentral:rRNA from 1 species